GCGUGGACGAAUUCUGUGUUAGCCCCUCAAUGGUCAAUGCAGCCAGACACCAUGCUAGAGAACCUCUCACACAUGACCUCUACAAGUAUAGAAGUACUGCUCUGUAUUUUUAUCCUAGUGUCACUGUGAAUACAAAU
ensembl:snoRNA small nucleolar RNA SNORA15